CUAAUAUGGCAGAAAAAUGCCUUAGAUUUAAAAUUUAAUUAUGAAAUACUUCUUUUAGUAA
rnacentral:tRNA from 1 species